GACGAACGCUGGCGGCGUGCUUAACACAUGCAAGUCGAACGGAAAGGCCCCUUUGGGGGUACUCGAGUGGCGAACGGGUGAGUAACACGUGAGUAACCUGCCCUUGACUUCGGGAUAACUUCAGGAAACUGGGGCUAAUACCGGAUAGGAAUCCUUGCUGCAUGGUGGGGGUUGGAAAGCUUCGGCGGUUUUGGAUGGACUCGCGGCUUAUCAGCUUGUUGGUGGGGUAGUGGCUUACCAAGGCUUUGACGGGUAGCCGGCCUGAGAGGGCGACCGGCCAUCUUGAGACUGAGAUGCGGCACAGGCUGCGAAGGGAGGCAGCAGGGGGGAAUAUUGCACAAUGGGCGGAGGCCGGAUGAAGAAGGGCCGCGGGCGGGAUGACGGCCUUCGGGUUGUAAACCGGUUUCAGCAGGGGCGAAGCUUGUGGUGACGGUACCUGCAGAAGAAGCACCGGCUAACUACGUG
rnacentral:rRNA from 1 species